UGUCACCUGCACCCGAUUAGCCUGCCCCUGUGGUCCUGCCAGUAAACCCCUUAUAUUCUCUGUCUUGUACAUUCCGCAGUGCCAGAUUGUCACCACAUGCUCUCUCCAAUUCUUCCUCGUGGUUCCUUCUCGAGUAUGAGAUCAGAUUUUGGCCUGUUCCUUGCCUGUUUUUGAUUUGAGUGAAUUACUCAGAUUUGAACUUUUGAACAAGACCAAAAUGCUUUAUUAACACUGCAAGAAAAAACAGUGACCAACCAGUCAAAUCCAGUGGCAAAGGAGGUCUCAAUAGUCGGAGCGAUGAGUUUGGCUGCAGUCAUGAUGUAUUUCUCAGCCAGGACUUUUCUAUUCAAGGCAAGAGGAAAUAAACCGAAUUCAGGAAGCCAAAGAUCUCUCUCCAUCUGGUGAAGCUUGUCAUUCUUAAUGGCCUCAAUGACCAUAUUGGAACUGGUGUCGUCCUGAAAGAGUGAACAGGACAACAUUUGAUUUCAGACCUUGAGCAUCAUGUUCAAUGAUCACCAACAC